rnacentral:rRNA from 1 species
GACGUAGGGCGCGAGCGUUGUCCGGAUUUAUUGGGCGUAAAGAGCUCGUAGGCGGCUUGUCGCGUCGUUCGUGAAAACCUGUGGCUCAACUACAGGCUUGCGGUCGAUACGGGCAGGCUGGAGUUCGGUAGGGGAGACUGGAAUUCCUGGUGUAGCGGUGAAAUGCGUAGAUAUCUGGAGGAACACCGGUGGCGAAGGCGGCGUUCUGGACUGCAACUGACACUGAGGAACGAAAGCCAGGGGAGCAAACGGG